rfam:Zea mays cultivar B73 chromosome 6, whole genome shotgun sequence.
CAGAUGAUCGAUAGUGAACAUACUGGGCACUAUAAUUUCUCAUCUGAGAAAACAAGCCAGAAUUUUGA